GAUACCAGGAAAUGAGGAUCAGUGGGGACCAGCUUGGAGGCUGACAACAACAGGCUUUCAUUUGGUCUCUUUUCGAAUCAGAAGACCCAGAAAACUUGGAUCCACUUCUGGCUCUCAUCCCUCUGGGCAGUGUGAUUUGGAUUGAGCAGAUGCUCCGGCUGCCACUCCAUCAUAUAUUGGAAACAGCAUUACUUUAUAGUAAAUCAUGACCACGGUGUAUGGCAAUGAAGUUGCAUCUGAAGCAGCCGGCACCCUAUGUGCUAGCUGGCUUUUAGACCAGGAGACUGUGAAUCUGUGGUCAGGAUCUCUUUAGGGCUGCUAAAUAUAUACUACCCACUAUCACUCGCUGGAGCUGCAGACCCUAGUUUUAGAGUUUCACUUCUUAAAGACCUUCAUCCUUAUUAAAAUGGUAAUAUCCUUACUGUC
rnacentral:lncRNA from 1 species